UGAGCUGAUAGGUUGCUAACUCCACCCCUUCAACCUCAGCCACAUGCAUCACCUUAAAGAUAUUUUCCAUCUCAUCCACGAACUCCUGUGGAUCUUCCUCCACCUUGGUGCCAGUGAACUUAGGUGGGUUCAUCUUCAUGAAAUGUCCGACUCUAGUAGCCUCAGAUGUAACAGAUGCAGACCCAACAUCUUCCAAUCAUUGAGCUUAGUUGGCUACCAACUGUGUCAGCAUAUGAAUAGACCGCCUGAAUUCUGCAUUUGAAAUAUCUCCCUGAGCAGUUG
rnacentral:lncRNA from 1 species